AUGGUACUGUGUCUCAAGCCUCAGAACUACAUGCAGCCUGGCCUCUUGCCAUGUACUGAGAUGUACAGUGGACAGUCUGGUUAGUCAGGAAAGACUCUGAGUCACCAUACAUGAAUGACUCCAUAAUCUUUACAACCAACACUUUUUUUCAAAAGCCCUGGUAAACACAAGGGGAGGCCCACUCAGCCCCAGCCUUCUGGACGGAAGGGUCAAUGGCUGCUCUAUCAAAGGAGGAGCAAAGGGCUGAGGAAGAGGAGGAGGACUGGGUCUCAGGUUGCCCCUCCAAGAGCAAGCAUUCCUAUAGGGACAAAACCCCUGCAAGUCCCAAUGUCUGCUGCCUACACAGAAGCCUUGCUAGCCAGCUCUUCAGGACUUGGAGGAAAUGUCCCCUUCCACCCACUACCAACCAGUUUUGAAUCAUUAGAGAAAAAGAACCUGCAGCUGGAGAGAAAAAAGUGUCAGAGCCAGGAGAACACAAUCAGCUGAAGUCCUGAGUAGAACAAAAAGCCUGACUCAUUCUCUGGACUUGCCACUCAGAAUGGAAAUGGGAGAACCGGAAUGGAAAUGGGAAAGACUCAGAAGAAACCAGAGAAGAAUCACCCAUCUGAAAAGUGAAUCAAGUAAUUGUAGUUAAUGAUCUUCUGUUAGGAAAUACUGGGAACCCAGAUGAUCAUCGAAAGGUUUUAUUUUGACUGGGUUGUUUAGGCAUUACUGUGUGCUUCUAUGUGGCUGGACCAACUCUCUACUUCUGUGAAAAGCCUCUUGGCAAUAAGAAUAUUAGGUCUGUGGAGGUGGCUUAGAAAGGCCACAGUGGACAUCUUGUACAACCUCCUCUUUUAGUGGAGGCAGCCUAGGAUUUAAUUCCAAAGA